rnacentral:lncRNA from 1 species
UGGGGGAGGAAAAGGGGAAGGAAAACCUUCUGCUUCAAUAAAUGUGAAUAGUUUAAAAGAAAAAUGAAAGAUGGACAUGCAAAGUCAUUCUGAAUGCUGUUUUUAAUCAGAUAUAGUUGUCCAAACAUUUCUUAGUAGUAAAACUACUAAAAUACAGAAUUUCAGUGCCUUGCACAAGCACAAAAGAGAACCCGUGUGUGUACAGAUUCAGAGGGAUUUGGCCUGAUGCCACCUUAAUCCCACUCCUUUGUGCAGGGCCAGCUCCCCGGGGAAUCCAGGCAUUGCAUACAUUCCAACAAACCCCCUGCCUCCCCCCCCCCCAACAUGAAAGAGAUGCUGUGGAUGCCCCAAACUUUGCUGCAGGCCCUCACAUCCCAGCAAAAGGUUUCUGCUAGGCUGGAAAGGAGUCUGUAGGAUGUGUGUGUGUGAGUGCAUACUCAGUGCAAUUUAAGGAAAGGCUUCUAGCACACAUUAGAGUCACAGGCGGAAAUCAAACCAAAUGAGAACACCAGGACAAAAUCAACUGAUUUUUUUUUAAAAGCGAAGCAAAUGGGAAGAUUGUCAGCACCUUCAGGGGCAUUUUGGUGCUAAUCACGUUGGCCACUACAGCACAGCCAACCCACCUAGCAAGCAAAACAAACAGACAAGGGCCAAACCAAAAUAUCCUGAGUCUUAGGAAGUGGCAAGGUCUGGGGGAAAAUCUAUACCCACAGCUACUUGAAAAGGAGGGGCAUUGUGACAGCAUCUCUCUAAUCCCCUGGGUAUACCCACUCCCUUCCCAAACCAUGCCAACUGGGUCUUCCCUGUGGGCUGGGAGUGGGGUGAGGAUGCUGCUAAGCAGCACUGAGGACCCCAGGAUACAUCCUCAGUGGUGCUCAGAGCAGAAUAUAUUAUGUUUUCCUAUGGCAAAAUAUUACUGCUAUUUCUGCUCUGAGAGGAACCCAUGGGAGGUGUCUGGUUUAAUAGGGGCAGAUCCCCAGGGGACGUACAAAGGUUAUUCUGCCUCAUCCCAAGGAAGAAGGUGCUCCAUCCCCGGCACAGCCACUUAGCUGAGGAAUGGUCUCCUGAAAGGGAGGGGCUGAUUGGGAGACAGCACCAUUUGCAUGGGGCUUGAGCAUAGGCCGAAGACUGCAAAACCCACGUGGGGCAGGGCAGGGAAGAGCAGAAAAAGCCAAUUGCGUGAGGAAUUGGCACAAAGGUUACGAAUGUCUGAAAGCCCACAAGGGCAAAUUGGGGAUGCUCAUCUUCAGGGUUAGGCCUAGAUCAGUGGGGCACAUCCCCUUCCCAUUCCUAAGGGCCAGUGCAGAUGCAUUUUUGUACUCCCAACAGGGCUGUGAACUUGUGAGACACUGCUCAGCAGUGAAAUCUUCUGCCCACCACAGACCGUGUGUGCAUGUCCAUGGAGGACAUCUGUGUAAUGCAAUAGAAAUCUGUCUAAUUCUGUGACAAUAUAAACUUUAAUUUUCUGAAAAUAGAACAUUUCUGGGAAGAGCACUUAGGGGUAAUGCUAUUUUCUUAACAUCCAAAGAAGGAAUCCCAAACAUGGGGGCUUUGGGUAAGGAAACAACAACAGCAACAGAGAAACCUCACUAUGGAAGAAAGAAUCUUGCAGAUCCUUCAUGGGAACUUGUUCAGGUAAAGAGGCUUCCUAGAUGGCAAAAGCAGAAACUCAGCAAUGGAAAAGACCAAAGAGGAAGGAAGGUGCUUUGCAGGGUCAUAAUUCACCUGCCCCCCGCCCCGUACAUUCACAAGAAUGAGCGACCCUGGAUUUCUUUUGACAGAUUGUGACAAGGUAAAAAGGCUUCUUAGAGUCUGUCUUCAAGGACGCUUGGAGACCACAGGCAGGGACCCUAAGCUCCUUCACUGAUAUCAUCCAAGUUUAACAUUUGUGGAAAAAUAGGUACACACUUCUGCAACUGAACUUUUGAAAUAAUCGGAGGAAUAUAAACUAUUCAUUUACCCCUUUAUUUACAGAAAGAAAAAACUUAAACUUCCAGCAAGAGAACCCAGCAGGGUUCCUACGCAGACCUGAUACUGACAAGGUGAGACUUCCCUUCUUUUUUCAGUAAAUAGUGAGGGGUGGGGAACCACCCCUCAGAUUAUUUAAAAUUAUUUUAAUGAGGACUGUCUGAUGUUAUUGCUUUAUCCCUCUAGAAAUGGGAUGCUCAUUACUCUGUGUGCUGACAAAACACACGCACAUACAAUCUCACUUAAACAAUAAAAUCUCCUUUGAUCCUAAAAAAGAAAGAAAGAGUAUAUAUCACAUUGUCUUGGCGGAACAGAUGAUCCACAAAGUUAAUACCAGCCAAUCAAAAUUUUCUUAAAAAAUAAUCACUCAAGUUUCCUCUUUCAAUAUGGCAGUAAACAUAAUCUGUUUCUUCCUCUUUCCAUUUCCCAUCCUCAGACAGCAACAAGUCUUUUUGCAAGAGACCAGCCUAUAAGUUCAUCCGCUACAACAUCAUCUCUUUGUUCAUAAGCCAACAAAGAGCAGGUUGGUGUGCCCAAUUCCCCAGCCAGAAGGCCAGUGUGUCAGGCACAGCACCGCCCCCCCGGCAGCUGGAG